rnacentral:tRNA from 1 species
GCGGGCGUAGCUCAGUUGGUAGAGCAUCAGCUUCCCAAGCUGAGGGUCGCGGGUUCGAUUCCCGUCGCCCGCU